AGAGUUUGAUCAUGGCUCAGAACGAACGCUGGCGGCAUGCCUCAUACAUGCAAGUCGAACGAAGGCUUCGGCCUUAGUGGCGCACGGGUGAGUAGCGCGUGGGAACCUACCCUUUUGUGGGGGAUAACCGAGGGAAACUUCGGCUAAUACCGCAUACGCCGGGUAACCGGGAAAGAUUUAUCGCAGAAGGAUGGGCCCGCGUCGGAUUAGCUAGUUGGUGGGGUAAUGGCCUACCAAGGCAAUGAUCCGUAGCUGGUCUGAGAGGAUGAUCAGCCACACUGGGACUGAGACACGGCCCAGACUCCUACGGGAGGCAGCAGUAGGGAAUAUUGGACAAUGGGCGAAAGCCUGAUCCAGCAAUGCCGCGUGAGUGAGGAAGGCCUUAGGGUUGUAAAGCUCUUUCGGCGGGGACGAUGAUGACGGUACCCGCAGAAGAAGCCCCGGCUAACUUCGUGCCAGCAGCCGCGGUAAUACGAAGGGGGCGAGCGUUGUUCGGAAUUACUGGGCGUAAAGGGCGCGUAGGCGGCCAUCUUUGUCAGGCGUGAAAGCCCUGGGCUCAACCCAGGAAUUGCGCUUGGGACGGGUUGGCUUGAGUUCGGGAGAGGAGAGUGGAAUUCCCAGUGUAGAGGUGAAAUUCGUAGAUAUUGGGAAGAACACCGGUGGCGAAGGCGGCUCUCUGGACCGAUACUGACGCUGAGGCGCGAAAGCGUGGGGAGCAAACAGGAUUAGAUACCCCCGUAGUCC
rnacentral:rRNA from 1 species